AACCCAUGGUAAGGGCAUCUUUGAAAAAGGUCCUUAUAUCUCUCCCAUGCAUCGUAGUGAUUCUAAAUCCAUCUGCACAAAAGAGGAGAUAUCAUUACUUAAUUU
rfam:Gossypium arboreum cultivar AKA8401 contig_129693_1, whole genome shotgun sequence.